UGUUAGAGUUCCUCAUUCAGCUGGUC
rnacentral:piRNA from 1 species